rnacentral:rRNA from 1 species
AGAGUUUGAUCAUGGCUCAGGACGAACGCUUGCGGUGUGCCUAAUGCAUGCAAGUCGAACGAAGCUUUUCCCUUCGGGGAAUUCGCUUAGUGGCAGACGGCUGAGUAACGCGUAAGUAACUUGCCUUAGAGAGGGGAAUAACUCAGGGAAACCUGAGCUAAUACCGCGUAAUCUCCGCAUCUGAGAUGCUGCGGAGGAAAGGUGUCGGGUGACCGAUGACCGCUCUUAGAGAGGCUUGCGUCCUAUCAGGUAGUUGGUGUGGUAAUGGCUCAUCAAGCCUAAGACGGGUAGCUGAUGUGCGAGCAUGGACAGCCAGAGGAGGACUGAGACACGGCCUCCACUCCUACGGGAGGCAGCAGCAAGGAAUUUUCCACAAUGGGCGAAAGCCUGAUGGAGCGACACCGCGUGAGGGAUGACGGUUUUCGGAUUGUAAACCUCUUUUAUUGGGGAAGACGUGGACGGUACCCAAGGAAUAAGUCACGGCUAACUACGUGCCAGCAGCCGCGGUAAUACGUAGGUGGCGAGCGUUGUCCGGAAUAACUGGGCGUAAAGGGUCCGUAGGCGGUACGGCAAGUCUCCUGUGAAAUCUUCGGGCUUAACCCGGAGCGGUCGGGAGAAACUGUUGAACUAGAGGCUAGCAGAGGCGAGCGGAAUUCCCGGUGUAGUGGUGAAAUGCGUAGAUAUCGGGAGGAAUGCCAGUGGCGAAAGCGGCUCGCUGGGCUAGAACUUACGCUGAUGGACGAAAGCGUGGGUAGCGAACCGGAUUAGAUACCCAGGUAGUCCACGCCGUAAACGAUGGAUGCUAGGUCUUCGGGGUAUAGAUUCCCUGUGGGCCGUAGCUAACGCGUUAAGCAUCCCGCCUGAGGACUACGGCCGCAAGGCUAAAACUCAAAGGAAUUGACGGGUCCCCGCACAAGCAGCGGAGCGUGUGGUUUAAUUCGAUGCAAAGCGAAGAACCUUACCUGGGCUUGACAU